UGAGAAGGAAGGAGAGUCAUAGUGCUGCCU
rnacentral:piRNA from 1 species